rnacentral:rRNA from 1 species
GUUUGAUCCUGGCUCAGAUUGAACGCUGGCGGCAGGCUUAACACAUGCAAGUCGAGCGGGGAAAGGUAGCUUGCUACCUGACCUAGCGGCGGACGGGUGAGUAAUGCUUAGGAAUCUGCCUAUUAGUGGGGGACAACAUUCCGAAAGGAAUGCUAAUACCGCAUACGCCCUACSGGGGAAAGCAGGGGAUCUUCGGACCUUGCGCUAAUAGACGAGCCUAAGUCAGAUUAGCUAGUUGGUGGGGUAAAGGCCUACCAAGGCGACGAUCUGUAGCGGGUCUGAGAGGAUGAUCCGCCACACUGGGACUGAGACACGGCCCAGACUCCUACGGGAGGCAGCAGUGGGGAAUAUUGGACAAUGGGCGAAAGCCUGAUCCAGCCAUGCCGCGUGUGUGAAGAAGGCCUUUUGGUUGUAAAGCACUUUAAGCGAGGAGGAGGCUACUGAGAUUAAUACUCUUGGAUAGUGGACGUUACUCGCAGAAUAAGCACCGGCUAACUCUGUGCCAGCAGCCGCGGUAAUACAGAGGGUGCGAGCGUUAAUCGGAUUUACUGGGCGUAAAGCGUGCGUAGGCGGCUUUUUAAGUCGGAUGUGAAAUCCCUGAGCUUAACUUAGGAAUUGCAUUCGAUACUGGGAAGCUAGAGUGUGGGAGAGGAUGGUAGAAUUCCAGGUGUAGCGGUGAAAUGCGUAGAGAUCUGGAGGAAUACCGAUGGCGAAGGCAGCCAUCUGGCCUAAUACUGACGCUGAGGUACGAAAGCAUGGGGAGCAAACAGGAUUAGAUACCCUGGUAGUCCAUGCCGUAAACGAUGUCUACUAGCCGUUGGGGCCUUUGAGGCUUUAGUGGCGCAGCUAACGCGAUAAGUAGACCG